rnacentral:rRNA from 1 species
UAGGUUACGUCAAGACUCACGGUUAUUAACCGUAGGCUUUUCUUCUCUACUGAAAGUGCUUUACAACCCGCAGGCCUUCUUCACACACGCGGCAUUGCUGGAUCAGGCUUGCGCCCAUUGCCCAAUAUUCCCC